rnacentral:lncRNA from 1 species
UUUCAUUCACUUACAAACUAAAUAAAACUAUUUUGAAACCACUUUUAUAAGUGAUGGCUGAAUACAAUACUCAUCACAUUUUUCUUAUACCUCUAGUAGUUUUUAUUUCCGCUAACCCCAGCCAACUAUCCAAAUGAAGAUAUUUGGGAGAUAUUUUGAAAUCUCUUCCAAUAAUAUAUUUUCUAAAUAUACUUUUAAAAUCUAGGAAACUUUUUUGUUGAAUUAAUAUAAUUUUUUCUAAUUGAGUAUCUCUUCUCUAAAGUGAAUAUUAUGAUUCUCAGCAAUCUUCAUAUCUCGAGUUCAGCACUCCAAACUCCAAUUUGGAUCUCGUUGCAGUACUUCUGUAGCACUUUGGUAAAAGCUGGACAUCAUGAUACUAUUUCUUCAAACUCUCCCUUUUUAAAUUUGUGUGAUUCCCAAGCAAUUGUAAGAAUCAAUCAACCAAUACACACACAAACAAACAC